GACGAACGCUGGCGGCGUGCCUAAUACAUGCAAGUCGAACGCAGUGGGGACGGGUGAGUAACACGUGGGUAACCUCCCAUCAGAGGGGAUAACACUUGGAAACAGGUGCUAAACCGAUACUGAUGGAUGGCCCCGCGGUGCAUUAGCUAGUGGGUGAGGUAACGGCUCACAAAGGCAACGAUGCAUAGCCGACCGGGAAGAGUGGUCGGCCACACUGGGACUGGGAAGCAGCCCAGAGUCCUACGGGAGGCAGCAGUAGGAAAUCUUCGGCAAUGGACGAAAGUCUGACCGAGCAACGCCGCGUGAGGGAAGAAGGUUUUCGGAUCGUAAAACUCUGUUGUUAGAGAAGCGGUAUCUAACCAGAAGGCCACGGCUAACUACGUGCCAGCAGCCGCGGUAAUAC
rnacentral:rRNA from 1 species